ACAAGUGAAUGUGCCUUGGGCUACCCAGAUCACUGCCUGGCAUCUUAGCAGUGAAGCUGCCUCCACAUGUUCAUCUCAGCUCCAGGCUGUGGCUUGGGUACAUGUUGCAUUCUGAGAGGCUGGAGAAUAAUCUAGCAGAAAAAGAAAGAUGGAUAGCUUUGCAGCAUCUGGAGCCAGACUUUCACAAUGGUGUCCAUGGACAGGGCCAGCUUCUUCAGGAGCUCUGAGAGGCAGGAGUGCAAGCCUAACAGAAAAUGUCUCUGGAGCUGAAGAAAUCCUAGCGGUGGCUCCACAGAGACAGAGGCACAGGGAAUACCUAAACUGGAGUUGUCUGCUGCUCUACCUCAUAGUUGCCAGAGGCUGAAGAAGGAGUCUUACAAGAAGCUCUUGCUACCACGUAGAAUCAGCUAUUGUAAUCACCAGCAGCUGUUUAACACCAAAGCUACAGGUAGCUCUUAUAAAGUGCUUGGGAAUAACAACCCUUUCAGUGGGGAAACUGAGGGAUGGAGAGGCAGAGAGCUGUCCCUGGACACACAGACAGCAAGUGACCAGACUCCAAGCUCCUCCAUUGAUGUCAGCUGUGACUACCUCCCCAGGCUAUGCUGCCUGCUACCAGGAGAAAACAAGCAGCAGGUCUGCUCUCUGGCUGCUUACAAGACUAUAAAUAUAGUUCAAGGUUGUGAUGAUACAAUAAUAAUCCACAGGAGUGAAACCUGAGCCAUUUAUGUGUGUAUAACCAUGGCUGGGAGAUGUGUUUAUUCCACUGCUCAGAGAUUUCCUCUCUAUUAUACUUUGAGCAAACACAUACUGUGAUGAAGACAAAAUACUCCAUUUGUCUGUGUUUUCUUGGUCUUUUCUUAUCUUCCAGAUACAAGUUUUUUCCUUUCCCUCCUUGCCACUUGCUUUUAUCCUUGCCACCAAAAUCCUUCCUUCCUUCUGCUCCUGCCUUCCUACUUGCCUGGGACAACAGGAGCAGAAAGUCAGCAGGUUUGCCCAGCUGGUAGUAGCGCAGACAGAGUCCUCUCUUGCAGAAUCAGUAGCCUGAUACAGAGGAGUAAUAGCAAGUGUAAAAGAAAAGAAAAAGCUAA